rnacentral:RNase_P_RNA from 1 species
GUAGCUCAUUGAAUGAUCGCUGGUUUUUCCAGAGGAAAGUCCGGGCAGUAUAGGACGCGGCAGUUGUUAACAACAACCGGGGGUAACCCUAGGGAAAGUGCCACAGAAACGAUACCGCUCUAGAUUUUCUAGAGUAAGGGUGAAAGGAGUGAGGUAAGAGCUCACAGUCAUUCGCGGUGACGCGACGUGAGAGGUAAACCCUGCUGACUGCAAGGAGAGUUUUCCAAUAUUAGGUUGGUAGUCCGCCAAAGCUCGAUAACCGCUUGAUCUUUAAAGCAAUUUAAAGGCUAGAUAGAUGAUCAUUCUUGACAGAACCCGGCUUAUAGAUGAGCUUUAAAU